CAACCGUCACAACGGCUUCCUGGCGUGGCGGGUUUUUUCAAUGGAGCA
rfam:Maritimibacter sp. HL-12 genome assembly, contig: B139DRAFT_scaffold00001.1